rnacentral:rRNA from 1 species
CCCCACUAGUCUGGGAUACCACUUGGAAACAGGUGCUAAUACCGGAUAAGAAAGCGGAUCGCAUGAUCAGCUUUUAAAAGGCGGCGUAAGCUGUCGCUAUGGGAUGGCCCCGCGGUGCAUUAGCUAGUUGGUAAGGUAAAGGCUUACCAGGCGAUGAUGCAUAGCCGAGUUGAGAGACUGAUCGGCCACAUUGGGACUGAGACACGGCCCAAACUCCUCGGGAGGCAGCAGC